GACGAACGCUGGCGGCGUGCCUAAUACAUGCAAGUAGAACGAGUUGCGAACGGGUGAGUAACGCGUGGUAACCUGCCUGGUAGCGGGGGAUAACUAUUGGAAACGAUAGCUAAUACCGCAUACCAUCAGAUGUGCCCAGAUGGGGGUAGCUAGUAGGUGGGGUAACGGCUCACCUAGGCGACGAUCCCUAGCUGGUCUGAGAGGGUGACCAGCCACACUGGAACUGAGACACGGGCCAGACUCCUAAGGGAGGCAGCAGUGGGGAAUAUUGCACAAGGGGCGCAAGCCUGAUGAAGCCAUGACGCGUGUGUGAAGAAGGCCUUCGGGUUGUAAAGCACUUUCAGCGGGGAGGCGUUACCCGCAGAAGAAGCACCGGCUAACUCCGUGCCAGCAGCCGCGGUAAUUC
rnacentral:rRNA from 1 species